UACGUAGGUGACAAGCGUUGUCCGGAUUUACUGGGUGUAAAGGGCGUGUAGGCGGGAUAUCAAGUCAGUCGUGAAAUACCGGAGCUUAACUCCGGGGCUGCGGUUGAAACUGAUAUUCUUGAGUGUCGGAGAGGAAAGCGGAAUUCCUAGUGUAGCGGUGAAAUGCGUAGAUAUUAGGAGGAACACCGGUGGCGAAGGCGGCUUUCUGGACGAUAACUGACGCUGAGGCGCGAAAGUGUGGGGAG
rnacentral:rRNA from 1 species